UACACUGCAAACAGGAGCUGCUAAUAGCUACUUUUAAUGGAGACUAUUUGCCAAAAUGUAAACAAAUAUAGGCUAAAAACUGGGCUGAAAGAGAACAGCAGUACCUGUCUGUAGAUGACAUUAAAGGGCGGGUCCCAGUAGUGUUACAUAUGUAUUAAAAUCUGAAAAUUCAAAUUUUGGUAAACAUAUAUAUGUUUUAGCAUCAAAAUGCCAUUUUCCUAAGUCCUUCUAAAAACUUUUUCCCAUGUGACCUGACAGGUUUCUGAAUGAUGACACCACGACAUAUAAACUGAUAUAAACCCCCCUAGCUCACCUAGCCAGAAGCCACAGCGCUCUACUGUUUUUUGCUAACAGCUAAGUGGGUGUUUCCAUUUGAACAACUUAGACAAAAACAGAGAUGAGGUCGUCCUUUAAAACAGUACAUUUUAUAAGCUUUUAUAGGGUCUUGCUCGCCUGAUGGUUUAUUUUUUCUGUUGUCAUAUUGGUUGCAAAAUAGAUGUUGGUGUGAUAUCAUCUCUGAUGUGCUUCUUGAAUAAAUAUCCAUAAAUUUUCUUAGUAAUCACAGAAACAAAGAUGCUCUCUGUAACGCCAGAACUUCCUUGAGAAUCAUCACAUUUUAAAGUUUGCUUCAGUAUCAAAGUAAUCCAGUGAUAGUUGUCUGUACAUCCAUGUUACGCUGCAGUUAAUUUGGCAUAUUUUUAAUGGAGACUAUGUGCUAAAAUGUAAACAAAGUGGCACAAUGUCUGUGUUAGUUUAAUUUAAGAACAUAAAAGUACAUCUGCUCUACAAGCUCCAUGUUUAUUACUGAUAAUGUUUUUAUUUUUAUAUAUUUUUUUAAAUUAAAUGGAGAAACUAGUCUUCUGCAUUUUCUUAAUGGACAUAUUGUAACUACUGUACUGCUGUACGUCCUCAUUAGAGCGCCAUUCUGCUGCCUGGUCAGUUUCUCUCUCUGCAUCACAGCCUUUUAGCCUUUCCAUUUCUCAGGAAGACAGUUUCCUUCCUUGUUUCCUGCCUGCUUAGUUUCCCAUUUCCCUGUUUAUCAGCUCCUCUCUUACUCACUCUGUUAGUUGUGACUUGUCCUUCAGCUGCUUUGUAGGAUAACUCCCCUUGACUUAGUUCCCCCUGUUUUCCACCAAUCUUGUCCUUCAGGCGCUCCCUGCUUUCACACCGAAUGUGGCAUUGUACAGAGCAGGGUCAUUCUUUUAAAUGGAGAGAGCAAGAACUGCUCUGACUAUCAACCAAACUUUGCCACUAAAGUCUAAUGGCAUCCAAUCCAAUUUACACUUUGGAUUCCCAGAGUUAUAUAACAGUUCUCUCCAAUUGUGCUGGGACCUAGGUAUCAGAAAGGACAGAAAUUCCAUAUUGGAAAAUUAAUAUUGUGAUCACAUGUUCAAAUUCCAGGGUAGUCCAUAGCCUCCUAGUUAUCUAUGUUUUAGGAUGAGUAAUGCUUUAGAGUGUAAACUACGAUUAAAAAGAAGUAGUGCUGAACUGUAGAACGGUUAAAAAGACUUAAGGUCGUUAAAAACCAGCGUUCAUCUGCGAUGAGGAAACUUUAAAAUAUCAAGAAUUGUAAACGGAGUUUGGCGUGUUUGUCGAAGCAACAGCACUGUGAAGAAACCACACAGCUGCUGAACUAAUCCCAGUCACACUGUGAAGGAGUAUCCAGAGAUUGAGAGAAAAAGGCAGGGGGGUAUGAAAAAUGAAAACUAAAUCAUGUUUAACCCACACGGCUACACAAAAAUCCCACUUGAAGCCCAGUUCAGUCCAUAAAGGCUGCACUUAUGGUCUGCCUUUACCCAGUUAUUAGCCACCAUACUGUGGCUAAUAAGUGGAGACUCAUGUGAGGACUAAGGACAAGUGCUCACAUGUGCCCCACUGAUAUUACAAUGAAAAACCUGCAUGGUCCUACUGUAUAUGCAGCUUUUGGACAAAUGCCUCACAUCAAUAACACAUGUGGGGCCCAGAUUGUUGCACUGGAAUCAAUAUGAAUGAUGUCUCAUUCUAGAAACAAGCUGAUUUUUAUUGGAAAAUGGUGAAACAAUCUUCCUCUAUUGGCUUGUUUCCCAAUAUUAAGCCUUUAAGACAAAAUCAAGCGGUCCUAACCAUUUAAACACUGAUGACCCAACAUCUAUAUGACUAUUAACCCUUUAUUUGCCACUUCCUUUAUCAUAUUUAUUAAAUUAUUAUAGUUACAAUUGAAUAAAUGUAGUUUUUUGGGCAUUUUAAGAGCAGAAAGCACAAAUUUAGAGAUUAAAAAGUCAUUUGCUCACUCAUUUAGUUAACUUUUCUUUAGUUAACUUUUCAUUAGAAGCUAAGUCAAUUAAUUAGAAAAUCUUAAAUUCUUGUUGUUGUUAAUAGGGCUACGAGUCUGAUUAUAUCUGCACGGCUGAUUGCGGAUUUUAUUGCAGUGAAUGAGCCGCCUCAGACUCUACAAGCAGACUCCUGUGUGGUCAAACUGCUCACUGUUAAUCACAGCAAUAAGAUAAGCAUAAUUGGAUAUCUGACUUCCCACAGCGUGUGAGUGCAUGUACAGACAACAUAUUGAUUUCCACUGUCUUCAUAAUUAAAAUGAUUUAGCUCCAGUAAAGAAACACUGUGGCUCUUAUUGGCUCACCGAUGUGAUAAUUAUCAUUUGUGUUAAGUUCUAUAAGCACGCCGUUUCUGCCUCCAAUAAUCUCCCCCGCUGAACAAACACAUCACUCUAAAUCGUAUCAUCAGUCUCUGCUGGGGUUGAAAUGUGACGCCUGCAACCUGCUGCUGGGAUUUCUAUUGGAUCAUGGUCAUCAGCUUCCAGCAGCUGGCGGGCGGCCCACGGAGGAGGAGGAGGAGGAGAAGAAGAAGAAAAGACUGGUUCCAACUGUCGUAGGGGUCCCAUUUCUUUUUCUUGGAGAUAAAUAUAUGCACAUGAGGCUCAGUGUGGAGGAGACCGCAGCCUCUUCAUCUUUCCUGUCAAACUGUUAUUACUCAGAUUUUCCUUUUCUUUAUCAGUUUUCAUGAUGUUUAUACAAAUGCAAA